rnacentral:rRNA from 1 species
CUUGGUCAUUUAGAGGAAGUAAAAGUCGUAACAAGGUUUCCGUAGGUGAACCUGCGGAAGGAUCAUUAAGGAAUUUUUAUUGAACCAUAGGCGAGAGGCAGUGGAUGUUGUAUCAUAUCCCUAUCACCUUGCUGUCACUGUUGCAUGCUUGCAUCCAGAGUUAAAUCUAAACAUUAUUGUAACAAAUGUAGUAUGUAUUAUAACAUAUAUAAAACUUUCUACAAGGGAUCUCUUGGCGAUUGGAUAGCAGAAGAACGCAGCGAAAUGCAAUGAGUAAUGUGAAAAGCAUAAUUCAAUGAAUCAUUGAAUAUUUGAACUCACCUUGCGCUCCUUGGUGAUGAGAGGAGCGUGCCUGUUUGAGUGUCAUGAAACCCUGAAAUCCAAGUUUUGCAUUUCGAUCCAUGCUUGAGUGCGGAUUUGGAUGUUUGCCCGUCAUGAACCGACUCAUCUUAAAAGUAUUAACUUGGAUCUGUCUAUAGGAGGGGUUUGACUUGUCAUAAUAACUAUUUUGCUGAGGACAUACUAGGAGGGGCAGGACCUAAACUACUGUCUGCUACUAUAACCUCACUUUAAGUGCAUCUUUGGAUGUUACUCAUUGUCGUAACUUUUACAUCUGGCCUCAAAUCAAGUAGGGAUACCCGCUGAACUUAAGCAUAUCAAUAAGCGGAGGA